rnacentral:rRNA from 1 species
CCAGCACCCCGAGUGGUCGGGACGAUUAUUGGGCCUAAAGCAUCCGUAGCCGGUUCUACAAGUCCUCCGUUAAAUCCAACUGCUUAACAGAUGGGCCGCGGAGGAUACUAUAAGACUAGGAGGCAGGAGAGGCAAGCGGUACUCAGUGGGUAGGGGUAAAAUCCGUUGAUCCAUUGAAGACCACCAGUGGCGAAGGCGGCUUGCCAGAAUGCGCUCGACGGUGAGGGAUGAAAGCUGGGGGAGCAAGCCGGAUUAGAUACCCGGGUAGUCCCAGCUGUAAACGAUGCAGACUCGGUGAUGGACCAGCUUCAUGCUAGUCCAGUGCCGCAGGGAAGCCGUUAAGUCUGCCGCCUGGGUAGUACGGUCGCAAGACUG